CCCUUAGAUGUUCUGGGCUGCACGCGCGCUACACUGAUGCGUUCAACAAGUGUUAACCUUGCCCGAUAGGGUUGGGUAAUCUUUUGAAAGCGCAUCGUGAUGGGGAUCGAUGACUGCAAUUGUUCAUCUUCAACGAGGAAUUCCUAGUAAGCGUAAGUCAUAAGCUUGCGCUGAUUACGUCCCUGCCCUUUGUACACACCGCCCGUCGCUACGACCGACUGUUUCUGUCAAUGAAGCUGUAGGAUUCGGCCCUGGCCGGGGCGCAAGCCCUGGCUACGUGGUUGGAGAUCAUAGUUUAGUUGAUACGAAAUACAGGACGUAAAAGUCGUAACA
rnacentral:rRNA from 1 species